GUGUCAGCAGCCGCGGUAAUACGAAGGGGGCUAGCGUUGUUCGGAAUCACUGGGCGUAAAGGGCGCGUAGGCGGCGCGACAAGUCAGAUGUGAAAGCCCCGGGCUCAACCCGGGAAUUGCAUUUGAUACUGUCGUGCUUGAGGCCGGGAGAGGAUGGCGGAAUUCCCAGUGUAGAGGUGAAAUUCGUAGAUAUUGGGAAGAACACCGGUGGCGAAGGCGGCCAUCUGGACCGGUUCUGACGCUGAGGCGCGAAAGCGUGGGGAGCAAACAGGAUUAGAUACCCUGGUAGUCCACGCCGUAAACGAUGAGUGCUAGACGUCGGGGGGUUCACCCUCCGGUGUCGCAGCUAACGCUUUAAGCACUCCGCCUGGGGAGUACGGUCGCAAGAUUAAA
rnacentral:rRNA from 1 species